CAAGAUAGUACUUUAUUCUCUUGGAGUAAACAGGAACUUGGUGGAGUACUUUAACUGAAGGCAUAACAAUCACCUAAUUAAAAAUCUCUCUAAAUUGCCCACAAUGAUUUUCUCUCUCUUCUUCUUCACUCUCGUUUUCUCUCUCUUCUUCUUCUUCAAAAUUCUUUUCUUUCCUCUCCUCUUCUUCAUCCUCAUUGUUCUUUAUCUCAAUAAUUUCUUUUUCAACUCCUCUCUCAUGCAUGCUCACCACCAUUUUACACUCCUCUUUAGGGUUAACAUCAGUAUUAGCCCUAAAUUGGUUCUUCUUAGUGACAUCCACCC
rnacentral:lncRNA from 1 species